rnacentral:lncRNA from 1 species
AUCCCGGGGCGGGGUGGGGACCCGCGGCAUCGGCAUCCCGGGGAGCGGCAGGCACCAGCAUCCCGGGGACCCGCGGCGCUGGCAUCCCGGGGCGCGGCGAGGACCCUAAGAUCGGAUCUCCUCAGUGGUCUGCAGCCACCAGCCCUGCACACCUGGGACAUGCACGGCCCCAAGCCCCGGGUGACAGGGCAUUUAGGGUAGGCUACAGGCAAAGGAUAAGAGGUUCCUCCUCCUCCUCUACGCAUUUCUAAUGGCUCCUUUGAGACAAGCCACACGACUCCCUGCUGGGAAGCCUCGCUGAGCUGUGGAAU